UCCUGAUAAAGACAAGGUUUUAUCUUUGUAUGUAUCAUGUUUUUUUUGUUAAAAUGGUCUGCCAAUUUAUGAAUUUCAUUGUAUAAGAUGUGUAACUAGAUGCCAUUGAAAUUACUUUUAAACGGUAGACAUUUUGUACAUGAACACUGCCUGUCUGCACCUUUUUUAAAAACAGGUCUGGGCUCAGGAGCCCAAAUACCAAUGUUAGCUGGAACAUGUUCAGUUUGGCCUAUCCGCCAGUAUCCCCUGAGGUCACCUGUUCAGCUUUGUUACUCCUGCUGCCUCACCAGCUUUCAUAGAAACCAUAUGCUAUGUAUGAAUCAGGGACACCAAUCCCACACAUUGCGUCCUUUGAGUACCCAAAGUCCUACUUUUUACUUUGCCAUGCCUGACAUCGGCAGUAAUAUUUAUCAGCAAAAGUGAGAUUUUCAAAGAUCCAAUUCUAUGUGCUCCUUUCCCAAAGAGCCUUAGGCAGGGCUAUAGCAUACAUAAUUAUUAGAGUAAAGGCCGUAGUUUUUAAAAUGUCAUCCAUUGAUAGUUGAUACAUGUCUGAGAUACUUUUUAUUUUGGAGGAGGUAUUAUUUAAUCGGGAAUUCCAACAGCUAUGUAAUAGUGAAAUGAGAAGUCUUGCAUCCAUUUUAUUUUGUUUCUGAUGAUUUUUAUGACUAAGGAUAAGAUACUUUCUUGUUCCAAUGCAGAUGUUGCCCACUUCUGUGAAUGGAUGCGGGUGUCACCUGCUACUUGCAUGUCUGCAUGUUCUGGUUGACACUAAUAUCAUACUUGGUAGGUGACAGAAAGUCAAUACUGAAGUUAAACUCUUGCGUUCUAGCAGAUGACCUGAAGAUUUUUGGUGUGCCACCUUCUGCAAUCCAUGCUGCUCUGUUCAUAUUCCUUAUUGACUUACUGGUGAUGAGCAUCAUGGUCUCCUGGUCUUUGAGAAUGGCCAAGCAUUGCUCUGGAGACAGUGCCCUCAAACACUUCUGUGCAGCUGGGAAUGCAGACUUCUGCUUCACCUUGAAGGAAGCAUUAAUGAAUSCUUUCCAGAAGACAUGAGAAGAGAGAAGUGAGCCUCUGGUAUCAUGCAGGUUCCUUGCAUUGCCCAUGGGCUAGAADAGAGAAGAGUUGCUUCAUGAGAUUUGAUCCCC
rnacentral:lncRNA from 1 species